rnacentral:rRNA from 1 species
AGUGAACGCUGGCGGCGUGCUUAACACAUGCAAGUCGAACGGACUUAAGUAGCUUGCUAUUUAAGUUAGUGGCGCACGGGUGAGUAAUGUAUAGCUAACCUGCCCUUUAGUGGGGACGAACAGUUGGAACGACUGCUAAUACCCACUACUCCUUCUUACUCUAAGGUAAGUUGGGAAGAUUAUCGCUAAGGAUGGGCGUUUAUGGUAUCAGAUAGUUGGUGGGGUAAGUGGCCUACCAAGUCAAUGACGCCUAGCUGGUCUGAGAGGAUGAUCAGCCACACUGGAACUGAGACACGGUCCAGACUCCUACGGGAGGGCAGCAGUGGGGAAGUUUUCCGCAAUGGGCGAAAGCCUGACGGAGCAAUACCGCGUGAGGGAUGACGGCCUGUGGGUUGUAAACCUCUUUUCUCAAGGAAGAAGUUCUGACGGUACUUGAGGAAUAAGCAUCGGCUAACUCUGUG